CCGCGUCCCUGGCGAGAUCCUCCUGGCUGCUGGAAAUGCAGAAGGUGCAUCACCAUCUACCAAAAAGGGAAAUCACUUAAUCCGCCUUUAUGUUCCUGGGUGGCAAACAGAACCUCUGAGCCGAGGAAGGUCUUGCUCUUGAGGUCACCCUGCUAAGUGAAAUGAAUGAGUGUGAAAGCAAGGAAGCAAGGAAGGAAGGAAGCAGCCAGGUGAGUUGGGCAGUAUUGCCCCUAUCUGUGAAAUAAGGAAACUGAGGUCCAGAGAGGCGAACCAACCUGCUCGACAUCACACAGUUGAUGCGGGACACGAUUUCUAGAACUUGAACCUGGUCCAAACUUCAUCCAGAACGAGAGUUUGUCUCCUUAACCAGCGGUGGCCGCAGCCCAGAUGUUACUGCUGGUACGUGCUGCACGUGUUGUGAACCGUUAAAGGCGCAGGACUCUGGUUUCCCAGGGAAGGUGCAGAGAGGACUGCUGGCCCGGAAGGCAGUUGUCUGGUGCCAAGCGGUGGCGGUGGUUUUCUCACUUUCCUUCUUUUUUUCAUUUCCUUUGCUGAGCCUGAGCCAGGGAAGGGUGCUGGCCUCUGCCACACCCCGCUGCCACUCGGCCCUCAGCCUCCUCCUCCCUGUUCACAUCUGUCAGCCAGACCCACUGGCACUUAGCCCCUUUAAUAGCAAUAAGGAUGGGAUUUCCAAGCUGUUCACUAUUAAGUGAAAAUAGAGAGAUACAUGUGUAUAUUAUAUGCUACAAUUUCUGUGAGUGGAAAAUAAUGGCGAUUGCUUCUAGGGAGAGGAACAGAAUAACUGGGGUUGGGAGAGGG